ensembl:piRNA 21ur-882 ncRNA
UGCGGGAGACAGACUUUGCAA